rnacentral:lncRNA from 1 species
GUUGUUCCUCUACGGCAAUCAGCUGACGAGCGUGCCGGCUGAGAUCGCGCAGCUCACAUCACUGAGGGAGUUGGGGUUCUACAACAGUCAGCUCACGAGCGUGCCGGCGGAGAUCGGGCAGCUUACGUCGCUGGAGAAGUGGGACCUCGGCAAAAACGAGCUGGCCAGCGUGCCGGCGGAGAUCGGGCAGCUCACGGCGCUGAGGGAAUUGAGGCUCGACGGCAAUCGGCUGACGAGCUUGCCGGCGGAGAUCGGGCAGCUCGCGUCUCUGAAAAAGUUGCUCCUCGGAUGCAAUCAGCUGACGAGCUUGCCGGCGGAUAUUGGGCAGCUCACCUCGCUGUGGGAGUUGAGGCUCGACGGCAAUCGGCUGACGAGCGUUCCAGCGGAGAUCGGGCAGCUGACCUCGCUGGAGAAGUUGGACCUCAGCGACAACCAGCUGACGAGCGUGCCGACGGAGAUCGGGCAGCUCACAUCGCUGACCGAGUUGUACCUCAACGGCAAUCAGCUGACGAGCGUGCCGGCUGAGAUCGCGCAGCUCACAUCACUGAGGGAGUUGGGGUUCUACAACAGUCAGCUCACGAGCGUGCCGGCGGAGAUCGGGCAGCUUACGUCGCUGGAGAAGUGGGACCUCGGCAAAAACGAGCUGGCCAGCGUGCCGGCGGAGAUCGGGCAGCUCACGGCGCUGAGGGAAUUGAGGCUCGACGGCAAUCGGCUGACGAGCUUGCCGGCGGAGAUCGGGCAGCUCGCGUCUCUGAAAAAGUUGCUCCUCGGAUGCA